rnacentral:rRNA from 1 species
GAUGAACGCUGGCGGCGUGCCUAAUACAUGCAAGUCGAGCGAACGGACGAGAAGCUUGCUUUUCUGAUGUUAGCGGCGGACGGGUGAGUAACACGUGGAUAACCUACCUAUAAGACUGGGAUAACUUCGGGAAACCGGAGCUAAUACCGGAUAAUAUUUUGAACCGCAUGGUUCAAAAGUGAAAGACGGUCUUGCUGUCACUUAUAGAUGGAUCCGCGCUGCAUUAGCUAGUUGGUAAGGUAACGGCUUACCAAGGCAACGAUGCAUAGCCGACCUGAGAGGGGGAUCGGCCACACGGGAACGGAGACACGGACCAGACUCCUACGGGAGGGAGCAGUAGGGAAUCUUCCGCAAUGGGCGAGAGCCUGACGGAGCAGCGCCGCGUGAGUGAUAAAGAUCUUCGGAUCGUAAAACUCUGUUAUGAGGGAAGAACAUAUUUGUAAGUAACUGUGCACUUCUUGACGGUACCUAAUCAAAAAGCAACGGCUAACUACGUG